rnacentral:tRNA from 1 species
GGUGCUGGAGCUCAGCCGUUAAGAGCAUUUGCUGCCUUUGCAGAAGACCUGGGUUCGAGUCCCAGCACCCACA